AGCGAACGCUAGCGGCGGGCCUAACACAUGCAAGUCGAGCGGAGAACUUCGGUUCUUAGCGGCGGACGGGUGAGUAACGCGUAGGUAAUGUGCCUUCUGGUGGGGAACAACCGUGCAAAAGCAUGGCUAAUACCGCAUAUGUCGAGAGAUGAAAGCCUUCGGGCGCCAGUAGAGCAGCCUGCGUCCCAUUAUUUAGUCCUAGUUGGUGAGGUAACGGCUCACCAAGGGUACGAUGGGUAGCUGGUCUGAGAGGAUGAUCAGCCACACUGGAACUGAGACACGGUCCAGACUCCUACGGGAGGCAGCAGUGGGGAAUAUUGCGCAAUGGGCGAAAGCCUGACGCAGCCACGCCGCGUGAGUGAUGAAGGCCUCGGUUGUAAG
rnacentral:rRNA from 1 species